rfam:Schistosoma mattheei strain Denwood, Zambia genome assembly, scaffold: SMTD_scaffold0005739
AUCCGAAUGGCGAGUCCCAAAUGGGACGAAACGCGUGUCCUGGAU